rnacentral:misc_RNA from 1 species
AAAUUACAUAUAUGCUCCAACUCCUUUUUAGGAUAAGUAGGAUUGUAGUUCAGGUACCCAAGCCUACCACUACAUCACCCUUUACCAUGAAGCCAAGGAUCAGGGGAUAAAAUAUGCAUGAACUUAUCCUGGAUGCUAUUCAUCUUUGAAAUAAAAAUCUACUCUUGCCUCUUAAAAGGUUGAACAGAAUAGCAGUCAGGUUAGUCAGGCAGGUCUAGAUGAGGUUAUUUUGGGUUCAGGUUGAUUUGGGUUGGUCCAACUUUGGAUUCAGACCAGUUAUUUCAGGUUAACACACAGUUCAAAUUUUUUAAAUGCAAGAUAAUAUCAAACAAAACAAAAAAAGAAACAUAAAAGAAAAUAGAACCAUUAUGGAAAACGUCCAUAUCUUUAUUUACCUAUUCAAAA